GUUUUUGUAGUUGAAUUAC
rnacentral:tRNA from 1 species